UUACACUACCAUAUUACGACAUCUCGUGACACGCGUAAACAAAACGAUUCUCCUGCACUAAAAUUGUAAUAAAUUAACGUAUUAAUUACUACUGAGUGUGUGUGACCUGUUGCCACUAGAGCAUGACCUUGUACAAAAAUUGUAAUAUUUACCACUUUUGGAGUAAUACAAUAUAGACAUUAUCGAUGCUUGAAACUUGUACAAUUUGACAUGACAAUAUAUUUCACCUGUGCAAUGUCGGUUUAAAAUUUAAUCUGCAGAUUUUAAAUUUUUGAUUCGACUUAACGUCUUUUGUUAUUAAAGAAAAGCGACACCAAUUAUUGUGUAAAUUCAUCAAGGAAGUUUAUAUGUAUGAAAAUUGAAUUAUGGAAAAUAUUAAACGGAUUUUAUCAGCUUUUACAAUUCUAAACGUUCUUCAAGGUAAGUUGACUUAAAAACUUUUAUUUAACGUUUAUGCCACACCCUUCCAUCAAAGAAGUUAACUAAAUUAGAUACAUAAAUACUAUAAAUAUAAGAGGAACCAUAUGUUCAAAGGUCGUGAUAAUACACAGUCAUAUCAUGGAACACAUAAAAAACUUGAAUGGGCAAAAUAAUUUUUGAUUUGAUAACGAUGAAAAAAACAAGUAUGCAUGACCAAGGAAACAAAGAAAAGUUAAAGAUUUAAAAUAUUUCCUCAAAGGCCAAAUCGUCAAUACAAUAUCGAUCAAGGGGUAAACGUUACACAAAGAUAGGGAGGUGUGGGGGGGGGGGGGGGUAACUGUCAAUUAGACAUAUAUCGAUUGAUUUAUCGGAUGUUGGUUGCUUCACGUCCAAUGGCAGGUAUUUCAUGUUGUAUGUUGCGAACAAAUUACAAUGAACCGUGGCGGAUCCAGAGCUUUUCAUUAGGUGGGCCCGCUGGCUGACCUAAAAAGGAGGGGGCCCAGACUGACAUAAGGGGGCACCGCUCCAGUCAUGCUUCAGUGAUUCCCUAUAAAAUCAACCAAUUUAUUCCCACACAACGGGGGGUGGAGCUGUCCCUUGGAUCCGCCUAUGAUAAUAUUAAGUUCAUGUACAGUAUUACAGGCUGUAUAUGAUGAAGGUCAGGAAAAUAUGGACUGCCAAACGGAAAUAAAGGUAAUAUUGGAUACGUUAACUAUAAAGCGUAGCAUUUUCAUUACACGAGGCAUCGGAUUUAACGUGACCAUUCUGUCGUGGCUGUGUACUUUUACAUCCUGUAAAGCAAUAAUUACGUCUUUAUUUAUUUAAGAAGAUCAAAGUGAACAUAUUUAUAAUAUAUAUGUAUCAAAGUAACCCUUGUAGGAAUUAUACGAAGGAAACAAAUCACCAAAAACAUUAUUUUUGUUAAUUUUAACAAAUGAAAUAUAAUAUAAUGCAAACAAAAUAAUGACAAAAAGUAAUGCAGAUACAAGUGGAUAAAGUUUAUAUGAUAACUUCCUUGUAAAUGAAUAUUACUGAUUUCAGCAAAAUGGUAUCAAAUUUUAAUUUUCUUUUAAAGGCAGAAUAAAUAUAUUUGAAUGAUCGCAUUACAAGUUAAGUGUUUGAGAUUUAAAUGUUGCAUUUAAAAGAAGAACAAAGUUGUUUGUGAUAAAACAUAAAGAACGAUUCGCUCGCAUGAACAUUUUAAAAGAUGAUAUAAAAGAAUAAUUUCACAAACCAUUAGCAGUGAAUAAAAAAAACAUUCUUAUUAUGUUUUAGUGAGAUAAGAUAACAUGUGCUAACUAACACCUAUCUUUUGUUAUUUUCAAUAUAUAGAUAUUUUUUACAAAUCCUAAAUUAAGUGAAUAACGGGGUUUCCAGUUACGCUCAAGGCCAAAAUGUGGGAAAACCAUUUGUCUCCCAAGGACACUUACACUUAAUUUCGAUGCACCGAUUUUUUUUGUAAAAAGUCUUUAAUCUGACUAAAAUAUCAUAUCUGACUUGUUAUUUUUUACUCGUUCUCGUUUCAUGGACAGUCCUUGUGGUCAUGAAAGUUUAGAGUAUGAUUAUCAAAAUACUGGAUUUGUUGUUUCGAACACAAACAUUGAUUGUACUUCGAGUACUUCAAAGUAAAGUUUAAUGACAAAAAGUCAAGUCCAUCCUAAGAUUUUGUUGUCUUACCUUGAUUAUUACUUCUUAAUUUAUUAACGAAAUGGGAUCAUGAUAUUGGUAACUUACUAGCUGUUGACAAAAUUGAAGGAACUUAAAUUAGUAGUGACGCGAAGGGGAAAGAAAAGGGGGGGGGGGGUUGGAGGGUGCUACAGCACACUACAACACUGAAAUUAGUAAAUUCAACUAAAGAAAAUCAGAAUUGACCUAAGAUAGCUGAAUUUUGCUGCUAUAUUAAUCUAUUCAAAACAUUAGCUACUGCAAACACUUUGUUUUAUAAUAUAAUGCAAGGAAUUUUAGUUAAUUUGGAUCACAUAUAUCACGAACAGAAACAACACUCGUACAAAAAGUAAUUGUACAUAAGAAUAUUUAAUAUAAAAGGAGAUGUGGUAUGAUUGCCAAUGAGACAACUUCCACAAAAGACCAAAAUGACACAGACAUUAACAACUAUAGUCACCGUACGGCCCUUCAACAAUGAGCAAGCCAUACCACAUAGUCAGCUAUAAAAGGCCCCGUAGACAAUGUAAAACAAUUCAAACGAGAAAACUAACGGCCUUAUUUAUGUAAAAAAAAUGAACGAAAAACAAAUACGUAACACAUAAACAAACGACAACCACUGAAUUACAGGCUCCUGACUGGGGACAGGCACAUACAUAAUAUGUGGCGGAUUAAACAUGUUAGCGGAAUCCCAACCCUCCCCUAACUGGGACAGUGGGUAUACCAGUGCAACAUAAGAACGAACUAUAAAAAUCAGUGAAAAAGGCUUAACUCAUCAGAUGGAUAAAAAUACAAGUGGACGUGGCCCGGUACUUAUACAUCCCGACACAAAAAGAAACAAUAAACAAAUCUAAGAGUACUCGCAUUAUCUGACAGCUAGUUCAAGCCACUAACAACUAAUGAAAAAUCUGCAUCUAAGACUAAACUAUCAAUUCCGUACACAUCCAACAUCCAAUGGAUGUUAGUGUAAAGCGUCAUAAACAGCCAGAGAAAAACAUGACAUUGUGCAAUGCCAAGUUACAGGUAGUCUUGCUCUCUGAACGACUUGAAUAAUUAACACGUGUGUCAAGGUCCAAAGAAUUAAGGCAAAUCUAAAGUAAUAUCAGGAAAAAUCUUGUAAUCAGAGUAGAAUACCUAAGCCGUAUUGGCAAACAUUUUUGGAAUUUUGGGCCCUAAAUUCUCUUCAACUUUGUAUUUGUUUGGCUUUUUAACUGUUUGGAUCUGAACUUCACCGAUGAGUCUUAUGUAGACGAAACGCACGUCUGGCGUAUUAAAUUAUAAUCCUGGUACCUUUGAUAACUAUUGUAAAAGUGUCUAAAACUCCAUCCGUUUUUGCAUCAUACCCCUGUAUUAAUGUGAAAAAUAAGAAAACAAAGGAAAAAAAAGAACGACCCAAACCGCAUUCUUUUUGACACCUGCAGACACACUGUAUUUACUUGUUUACAUCUAGUUAUGCAUCAAAUACACAUUCAUGUAAGCCAUAAUUAAGUGACAUCAAAGAAUAAUGUAUGUCUAAGGACUUCCAAUUUGCUCAGGGCAUACUACUUUCUCAAAAGAUUGACAAGUUUAUACCAUGAUAUGAUUGUUUUGAUAAUAGAUAAUUAAAAAUGAUAUAUUAUAGCUUUACGUGGUUUUACACACACUUACACUGCAUAACUUUAAUAUAGUGUACAUAAUUUUUAUGUAAAAAUAUAACCACAUUAGUUUUUAAAUUAAAAGUUAAGCUACAUGUGUAGGUGCAGUUAAUAAGGAAUAACAAACGCCCCCAUUUGAAUAAAAUGAUUUUAUUCAUGAUAUAUUGAUUGCUAUAAUGCAAAUGAAAAGUUAGAAAUUAGAAGUUAGAAGUUAGAAUUAUAAUUGAACUUACAUAGAUUACGUAGUACUACAUUUUUCAUAUGUUUGACUUAAAUAACACGAACAUAAUGUGCACAGGAAAUUAGGCAAUGCCUCUGUAAUACUUGCAUAAUAUACAUGUAUACGAUAAUCGAAAGUAAGCCUAAAUUAUUUAAUUUUUUUUAUUUAGAUUAGACCGUUGUUUUUCACGUUUGAAUGGUUUUUACACUAGUAAUUUUGGGGCCCAUAUAUAGCUUGUUGUUCGGUGUGAGUCAAGGCUCCGUGUUGAAGGCCGUACAUUGACCUACAAUGGUUUACUUUUGUAAAUUGUUAUUUGAAUGAAGAGUUGUCUCAUUGACACUCAUACCACAUCUACCUAUAUCUACCAAUAACUUUAUUGAGAUCUUCAAAUCAAUACAUAUAUUUACGGGUACCAUGUUGCCCCUGCUUUAUAUGUACAUGUAUGCUUGAUAUUUAUGCUCUUCUUUACUUCAAACGUUAUGGUGUAUUUAUUUUUGAGAUGACUUUUCUUUUGUGUGCCACAUCAUUCUCUCAAUUUUAGGACAGUUAGUUUACUAAAAUUCAAAUAAGACGUGCACCAUCUAUUCUUGGCCCUCAUUCCUGUCCACGUUAAUUUUGUAUAGGAGCCGUCUUAAACUUGCAGUGAGGUGAGAGUUGUUUGCUCCGUGUUGAAGGCCUCAUUGUGACUUUGAGAUUAAAAACAGCAAUACAAGUGUUUUUUGUUUUUUUGUGUGUUUUUUGUUUGUUGCUCAUGUACUGUCUUUUGUCAUGAUGGGUAGAUACUCCAUAUCCUUUGUUUUUUCUAUUACACCAGAAAGAAUAACAUGUAUAUAUACACAUUUUAUUAUACUGACGAAAUUUAAAAACAAUCUUAAACUAACUUAAUCAGAUGAAUUGUUUAUGGUGAUGUUCUUUUUAAAUGAAUGGCUACAGUAAGCUAUACAAAGAUGGAUUUAAUUAGGUCAUAAGUGCUUCUGAAUAAAUUAGCAUUUAUGAGACUACCGAGGCGUACAUUGCUUUUGUAAAGUAAUAACCAAUACACUAAUAAGCAAUCGAAGCAUUAAAAUGUACACGUUUAAUGCAAAAUUAAACCAGAAGUGUACUACAUGUACUGAAGUGCACAUACGUAUGCAUCUAUUAUGAAAGUCUAUGGAAACCCAAUAUUUAAUUAUUGGGAUAUAAAAAUGAUAUAUAUGUAUUUGACAUUUCGUUGUAAAUACAAUCCCUUUCAACAAAUUCCGACAAGUGUAUAUAACUCUGAGUUAUCUAAAAUCGAAAUCAUAAGUUACUUGUACAUGUACUUAGAAUUAUAGUAAAUUGUCGAAGGCAUAUUUUAUUAUUUACAAGGUGCAUUCUAUUUGUAUUUCAAAGGUAUUGCCUGUGAAGAUGACUCAUUUACCGGAGUUGUAGCAGCCUCAACAGUUGCUGGGGUUCUAUUCUGUCUUGUGAUAUUAGCAGCUGUAAUUUUUGCGAUUUGGUAAUUUUUAU
rnacentral:lncRNA from 1 species